rnacentral:rRNA from 1 species
GAGUUUGAUCGUGGCUCAGGAUGAACGCUGGCGGCGUGCUUAACACAUGCAAGUCGAACGAAGCACUUUAUUUGAUUUCUUCGGAAUGAAGAUUUUGUGACUGAGUGGCGGACGGGUGAGUAACGCGUGGGUAACCUGCCUCAUACAGGGGGAUAACAGUUGGAAACGACUGCUAAUACCGCAUAAGCGCACAGGGUCGCAUGACCUGGUGUGAAAAACUCCGGUGGUAUGAGAUGGACCCCGCG